rnacentral:rRNA from 1 species
CCUACGGGUGGCUGCAGUGGGGAAUAUUGGACAAUGGGCGAAAGCCUGAUCCAGCCAUGCCGCGUGUGUGAAGAAGGCCUUCGGGUUGUAAAGCACUUUCAGUGGGGAAGAAAGCCUUGGGGCUAAUACCCUCGAGGAAGGACAUCACCCACAGAAGAAGCACCGGCUAACUCCGUGCCAGCAGCCGCGGUAAUACGGAGGGUGCGAGCGUUAAUCGGAAUUACUGGGCGUAAAGCGCGCGUAGGCGGUCUGAUAAGCCGGUUGUGAAAGCCCCGGGCUCAACCUGGGAACGGCAUCCGGAACUGUCAGGCUAGAGUGCAGGAGAGGAAGGUAGAAUUCCAGGUGUAGCGGUGAAAUGCGUAGAGAUCGGGAGGAAUACCAGUGGCGAAGGCGGCCUUCUGGGCUGACACUGACGCUGAGGUGCGAAAGCGUGGGUAGCAAACAGGAUUAGAUACCCCAGUAGUC